rnacentral:rRNA from 1 species
AUGGUGCAGAGGUACCCACAUAACAAGAACAAAGGGAAGAACAAAUCUGUUUUCAACAAGCCUACCAAGACUACUACCUUCAAGAAGAAGAAGUUCAACAAGGCUGAGCUAGAGUGCUACGCCUGUGGGAAGCCUGGACACUUUUCCAAGGAAUGCCCUGAACGUGCAGACCGCAGAGGGAAAACAAGCUCCAAGACUGUCAAUAUGGUGACCGCUAGCAAUACUGAUGGGUAUGGUAAUUUACCUAUUGUGCUUUCAGUAUUUCAAUCAUCUUCGUGGUGGAUUGAUUCGGGUGCUAACGUUCAUGUGUGUGCUGACAUCUCCCUGUUUACUUCUUAUCAGGUCGCAAGGGAUUCUUCCGUCCUAAUGGGGAAUGGGUCACAUGCUUCUGUUCGUGGCAUUGGCACGGUGGAUCUGAAGUUUACUUCGGGAAAGAUCGUGCAACUAAGGAACGUGCAGCAUGUCCCUACUAUGAACAAGAAUCUAGUUAGCGGCUCCCUUCUAUGUCGAGAUGGAUUUAAGGUAGUUUUAGAGUCCAAUAAAGUAAUAGUGUCAAGAUUUGGACAAUUUAUAGGAAAAGGCUAUGAGUGUGGAGGCUUGUUCCCCUUUUCUCUUUCAGAUUUUUGCACUAAGUCAAUAAACCAAAUUUGUGCUAGUGUUAAUGAUGAUGCAAGUAUUUGGCACUCUCGUUUAUGUCAUAUUAAUUUUGGUUUAAUAUCUCGGCUAUCCAGCAUGAGUUUAAUUCCGAACUUCACAGUUGCCAAAGGUUCUAAGUGCCAUAGUUGUGUGCAAUCGAAGCAACCUCGAAAGCCUCAUAAGGCUGCCGAGGAGAGAAACUUGGCACCUCUAGAACUCAUACAUUCUGAUCUUUGUGAGAUGAAUGGUGUGUUGACAAAAGGUGGAAAGAGAUAUUUCAUGACUUUGAUUGAUGAUGCGACUAGAUUUUGCUAUGUUUAUUUGUUGCAAACUAAAGAUGAAGCAUUAGACUACUUUAAAAUCUAUAAAGCUGAAGCUGAAAAUCAACUAGAGAGAAAGAUCAAGCGUCUUAGGUCCGAUCGUGGUGGAGAGUAUUUUCCAAAAGUUUUUGAUGAAUUUUGUGAGGAACAUGGUAUUAUUCAUGAGAGGACGCCUCCUUAUUCACCUCAAUCAAAUGGAGUGGCCGAGAGGAAAAACCGCACAUUGACUGACUUGGUGAAUGCCAUGUUAGACACUGCUGGUUUAUCUAAGGCAUGGUGGGGGGAGGCUCUAUUGACUUCAUGUCAUGUCCUGAAUAGAGUUCCCAACAAUAAUAAAGAGAAAACCCCUUAUGAGGAGUGGGUUGGGAGAAAACCAUCACUUUCUUAUUUGCACACUUGGGGAUGUUUGGCAAAGGUCAAUAUUCCUAUUCCUAAGAAACGCAAACUUGGACCAAAGACAGUGGAUUGUGUCUUUCUAGGGUAUGCUCAACGGAGCAUUGCUUAUAGGUUUUUAGUGGUAAAAUCUGAAGUACCUGAUAUGCAUGUUGAUACUAUAAUGGAAUCUCGUGAUGCAACAUUUUUUUAG